UGCCUAAAGGGGCCGUAGCCGGUUUGGUCAGUCCUCCGGGAAAUCUGACGGCUCAACCGUUAGGCUUUCGGGGGAUACUGCCAGGCUUGGAACCGGGAGAGGUAAGAGGUACUACAGGGGUAGGAGUGAAAUCUUGUAAUCCCUGUGGGACCACCUGUGGCGAAGGCGUCUUACCAGAACGGGUUCGACGGUGAGGGACGAAAGCUGGGGGCACGAACCGGAUUAGAUACCCGGGUAGUCCCAGCCGUAAACGAUGCUCGCUAGGUGUCAGGCAUGGCGCGACCGUGUCUGGUGCCGCAGGGAAGCCGUGAAGCGAGCCACCUGGGAAGUACGGCCGCAAGGCUGAAACUUAAAGGAAUUGGCGGGGGAGCACAACAACGGGUGGAGCCUGCGGUUUAAUUGGACUCAACGCCGGACAACUCACCGGGGGCGACAGCAAUAUGUAGGCCAAGCUGAAGACUUUGCCUGAAUCGCUGAGAGGAGGUGCAUGGCCGUCGCCAGUUCGUACUGUGAAGCAUCCUGUUAAGUCAGGCAACGAGCGAGACCCGUGCCCACUGUUACCAGCAUAUCCUCCGGGAUGAUGGGUACUCUGUGGGGACCGCCGGUGUUAAAUCGGAGGAAGGUGCGGGCCACGGU
rnacentral:rRNA from 1 species